rnacentral:rRNA from 1 species
GACGAACCGUCCUAACGUUGUUCGGAAUCACUGGGCUUAAAGGGCGCGUAGGCGGGUUCCCAAGUCGGUGGUGAAAUCUUUCGGCCCAACCGGAAAACAGCCGCCGAUACUGGGAGUCUUGAGGGAGGUAGGGGUCGAUGGAACUUCCGGUGGAGCGGUGAAAUGCGUAGAUAUCAUCCGGAACGCCUGUGGUGAAGACGACUCGCUGGGAAUGUGCUGACGCUGAGACACGAAAGCCAGGGGAGCAAACGGG